rnacentral:rRNA from 1 species
AUUGAACGCUGGCGGCAGGCCUAACACAUGCAAGUCGAGCGAGCGGCGGACGGGUGAGUAAUGUCUGGGAAACUGCCCGAUGGAGGGGGAUAACUACUGGAAACGGUGGCUAAUACCGCAUACCAUCGGCUGACCCCAUAUGGGAUUAGCUAGUAGGUGGGGUAAAGGCUAACCUAGGCGACGAUGCCUAGCCGUGCUGAGAGGUUGACCAGCCACACUGGGACGGAGAAACGGUCCAGACUCCUACGGGAGGCAGCAGUAGGGAAUAUUCGGCAAUGGGCGCAAGGCUGAUCCAGCCAUGCCGCGUGUAUGAAGAAGGCUUUCGGGUCGUAAAGCACUGUCAGUGAGGAAGCGUUACUCGCACAAGAAGCACCGGCUAACUCCGUGCCAGCCGCCGCGGUAAUUC